rnacentral:rRNA from 1 species
CCUACGGGAGGCAGCAGUGGGGAAUUUUGCGCAAUGGGGGAAACCCUGACGCAGCGACGCCGCGUGGAGGAUGAAGGCCUUCGGGUUGUAAACUCCUUUUGUGGGGGACAAUGGUGAUGGUACCCCAUGAAUAAGCCACGGCUAACUCUGUGCCAGCAGCCGCGGUAAGACAGAGGUGGCAAGCGUUGUUCGGAAUCACUGGGCUUAAAGGGCGUGUAGGCGGCAUUGCAAGUCUGGGGUGGAAUCCGGUGGCUUAACCACCGAACUGCCCUGGAAACUGCAUGGCUUGAGUCAGUGAGGGGAGGGCGGAAUUCCCGGUGUAGUGGUGGAAUGCGUAGAUAUCGGGAGGACCACCAGUGGCGAAGGCGGCCUUCUGGUCUGCCCCUGACACUCAGGCGCGAAAGCGUGGGAAGCAAACAGGAUUAGAUACCCUAGUAGU